AGUGAACGCUGGCGGUAGGCCUAACACAUGCAAGCCGAACGGCAGCACAGUAAGAGCUUGCUCUUACGGGUGGCGAGUGGCGGACGGGUGAGGAAUACAUCGGAAUCUACUUUUUCGUGGGGGAUAACGUAGGGAAACUUACGCUAAUACCGCAUACGACCUACGGGUGAAAGCAGGGGAUCUUCGGACCUUGCGCGAUUGAAUGAGCCGAUGUCGGAUUAGCUAGUUGGCGGGGUAAAGGCCCACCAAGGCGACGAUCCGUAGCUGGUCUGAGAGGAUGAUCAGCCACACUGGAACUGAGACACGGUCCAGACUCCUACGGGAGGCAGCAGUGGGGAAUAUUGGACAAUGGGCGCAAGCCUGAUCCAGCCAUACCGCGUGGGUGAAGAAGACCUUCGGGUUGUAAAGCCCUUUUGUUGGGAAAGAAAAGCAGCAGGUUAAUACCCCGCUGUUCUGACGGUACCCAAAGAAUAAGCACCGGCUAACUUCGUG
rnacentral:rRNA from 1 species